rnacentral:rRNA from 1 species
GUACACGCUGUGACUAGCAUAUCAAUAAGCGGAGGAAAAGAAACUAACAAGGAUUCCCCUAGUAACGGCGAGUGAAGCGGGAAGAGCUCAAAUUUGAAAUCUUAAAGGGUUUCCCUUUACGAAUUGUAGUUUAAAGAAGUGUUUUCUGUUGAGGUUUUGGUAAAAGUUCUUUGGAAUAGGACAUCAUAGAGGGUGAGAAUCCCGUAUUUGACCUUUACUUUCAACUUUGUGAUACACUUUCAAAGAGUCGGAUUGUUUGGGAAUGCAGUCCAAAAUGGGUGGUAAAUUUCAUCUAAAGCUAAAUAUUGGCGAGAGACCGAUAGCGAACAAGUACCGUGAGGGAAAGAUGAAAAGAACUUUGAAAAGAGAGUUAAACAGUACGUGAAAUUGUCAAAAGGGAAGCGUUUGACACCAGUGUUGUUUCUCUGAAAAUCAAUUAAAGAACUGUUUAUGCUAAGUUGUUUAGACUUUAUCAGCUAACUGUUUAGUUUUGAGCUUUUCUUUAAUGCACUUUUCAGUUAACAAGUCAACAUCAAUUUCUUUUGCUGUAAAAAGGCUUGAGGAAGGUGGCUUGAGAUUCGUCUUAAGUGUUUAUAGCCUCUUGCCUAUGCAGUCGGAGAGAUUGAGGUCUGCAGCGUAGAUCCUUCGGGGCUAAAUGCAUUUGUGCUAAGUUAUAGCAUUUUAUAGACAACUUGUUGACUAUGAUUUGUCUUGUAGCUUACUCGCUUAUGUUAUUUUACCUACGCUUAGGAUGUUGAGUCGUAGAGCACGCAG